GACGAACGCUGGCGGCGUGCCUAAUACAUGCAAGUAGAACGCGGAAGAGAGGAGCUUGCUCUUCUUGGAAGAGUCGCGAACGGGUGAGUAACGCGUAGGUAACGUGCCUUGUAGCGGGGGAAAACUAUUGGAAACGAUAGCUAAUACCGCAUAACAAUGGAUGACACAGGCCAAUAGGGUAAAAGGGGCAAUUGCUCCACUAUAAGAUGGACCUGAGUUGGAUUAGCGAGUAGGUGAGGUAAUGGCGAACCUAGGCGACGAUACAUAGCCGACCUGAGAGGGUGCGCGGCCUAGCUGGGAUGGAGACACGGCCCAGAACCCUACGGGAGGCAGCAGUAGGGAAUCUUCGGCAAUGGGAGCAAUCCUGAACGAGGCACGCCGCGUGAGUGAAGAAGGUUUUCGGAUCGUAAAGCUCUGUUGUAAGUCAAGAACGGGUGUGAGAGUGGAAAGUUCACACUGUGACGGUAGCUUACCAGAAAGGGACGGCUAACUACGUG
rnacentral:rRNA from 1 species